AUAAGGACAUUCAGAGGUAUUUUGAGAACAACUUUUCACAGAAAGCGGUGGGGCUGAGAAAUCCGCAAAAGUUGCAAAAGAGUUGCUGAUGUUGAUAAGAUAAUAAAUAUAAUUAAGAUGCGAGUAUCAGCUGAUACUCGAAUUUGGGUGGUACCGCGGAAAUCGUCAUGAAAUUCGUCCCUGUC
rnacentral:misc_RNA from 1 species